AUGCAACUGUUACACGAUGGCAAUCAGACAUAUAUAUUGUCAAUGGAUCGCCUCAAAUUGUAGAACUUGCUGCAGCAGCUCAAGCUUUUCAAAUUUUUUCAGAACAAAAGCUUAAUAUAAUAACUGACUCUUUGUAUGUUACAGGUAUCAUACAGCUGAUUGAAGGAUCUUUUCUUAAGGAAGUUAAUAACUGUGUUUUGCUCAACAGGUGUUCCACUUGGGCUCUGUAUCACACACUGGCCGCGCAGAUGCGAUGUACAAAUGGAAAAUACCCUGCAGACCCUGAGAAGAAUAUAAGUGGGAGAGAAUCUGUGGUGGGUGAGAGAGGAAAUGUGCACUUAGAAGCAGGGGACAGCCUGCUGGCACUGCCUAUCGCAUCCACCGCCAACAUGUUCCUUCUCUCUCCUUUUCCGCAGUUUGCUGUUUCUCAAGAGUCGGUAAGUAAUAAAUGCCCCUAGUAAUACUCUAGCACAUUUGCCUGCUAAUAUUGAUUCUAUCCAACAUGCAACUUCAUAAAGUUGUAUGACCAUUAAUUUUCUAUUAGCCCAAAGGCAUGGUUGUGAGCACUCUAAAAGCAUUUGUUGUACAAAUUUUAGUGAUCAUUCAAAAUCAAUAUAUCAGAGCAUAUGAAAGUCAAAGACUUUUUUCUAACCAGUUACAGAUUAACACAGAACGGGACCCUUAGGGGUUUAUUUCCAGGUUGCAGAAACUUGGGCUGUAGGCCAAACAUGUGUUUGUUCUUUUUUAGUGAGUUUAACAGUAUUUCUUCUUGUUAAGCUACGUUUGCCUGUCUCCUUUCUCACGUUUAGAAUAUUGUCAAUCGAGGCCUUGAUUGAGUUAUAAUGAUUAUGUUACUAAUAAAAUUAGUGUUAUUCUAUAGUAUGGUAGUAGUUUGCAAAUAAACAAAAAAGGGGGAAUUGUGGGAAUACAAGAAAAACUGUUCAGAGUAGCAACUGUGUAGCAAGAUAAACAGCAUGAGAACCAAGGGCAUCUCUAGAGGAAGAAAGAACAGCUCACAGCUCUGAUUGGGUAAGUGCCCACAUGAACGGUUGAAGAGUGUUUGUAGAAUGUUUUGUUGACAUGUGAAGGUGGAUGGGAAAGUUAUAGGGGCAGAUGGGAAAGCUAGGCAAAGAAAACUUGUGAAUGUAUAUAGGUAAUGUGAGAACUUGUAAUAAACAAUUUGGAUCAUUCACAUCUGAGUCAGUGAAUCAGACACUGCACUUUUCAACCCAGUCCAUUCUAUGAUUCUAUAACAUCAAUCUAUUGACUGCAACUCAUGAUUUACUCAGGAUUUACUCAUGAAUGUCAGUCAGCACGGCUUCACCAGGGGAAGGUCAUGCCUAACCAAUCUGGUGGCCUUCUAUGAUGGAGUGACAGCAUUGGUGAACAAAGGGAAGGUGUCCAAAGUCAUUUACCCGAACUUGAGCAAGGCCUCUGACAUGGUCCCCCACCACCUUCUUAUCUCCAAAUUGGAGGGAUGUGGAUUUGAUGGGAGGACCACCCGAUGGAUAAGGAAUUGGUUGAAAGGCCACAGACAGAGGGUGGUGAUUAAUGGUUCUAUGUUCAGAUGGAGUCUGGUAAUGAGCAGCGUCCCCAAGGGGUCUGUCUUGGGACCAGUGCUCUUUAACAUCUUUAUAAAUGACAUCAGUGACAGAAUUGAAUGCACUCUCAGCAAGUUUGCUGAUGACACCAGGCUGAGUGGUGCAGUUGACACAGUAAAGGAUGCCAUUUAGAGGGACCUCAACAGACUUCAAAGCUGGGCCUGGAUGAAUCUAAUGAUGUUCAACACAGCAAAGUGCAAGGUUUUGCACGUGGGCUGGAGGAAUCCCAGACAUAUAUAUACAGAUUGGGAGGAGUACUCCUUGAGAGAGCCCUGCAGAGAAGGACAUGGGGGUCCUGAUGGAUGAAAAACUUAACAUGAGCCAGCAGUGUGCUCUUGCAGCUCAGAAAGCUAUAUCCUCUAACCUCUGCUUGCACUGGGGUAUGUCCUGGCCUUUGGUACCACACCCUUUGGCCUGAUAUCAGUGGCUGGAUAGCUAUCAGGCACCAAAGCGGGGUUCUAAUUUGUCACGUGGAUGUGAUUAACAUCCCCUUUGCAGUGAAGGUCAGAGUUUCAACUACUUUCUCCACUGGCAAUUACUGGAGGUUAUAUCAAUCCCCCAGCCAUCUCAUGAGACCUCAGCAAUAAGGUCUCCCCUGCCAUCUCAACUCGAGUACUGUGUCCAGUUUUGGGCCCCUCACUGUAAGAAAGACAUCGAGGCCCUGGAGUGUGUCCAGAGGAGGGCAACAAAGCUUGUGAGGGGUCUGGAGCACAGGCCUUAUGAAGAGCGGCUGAAGGAGCUGGGAUUGUUCAGUCUGGAGAAGAGGAGGCUCAGGGGAGACCUUAU
ensembl:lncRNA